UACAGAGGUGGCAAGCGUUGUUCGGAAUUACUGGGCGUAAAGGGCGCGUAGGCGGCCAUCUAAGUCAGACGUGAAAUCCCCCGGCUUAACCUGGGAACUGCGUCUGAUACUGGCGAGCUUGAGUGCAGGAGAGGAACGCGGAAUUCCAGGUGUAGCGGUGAAAUGCGUAGAUAUCUGGAGGAACACCGGUGGCGAAGGCGGCGUUCUGGACUGCAACUGACACUGAGAGACGAAAGCCAGGGGAGCAAACGGG
rnacentral:rRNA from 1 species